GGGAAAGAGGACGCCCUGCUUGGCAACGCCUGCUCGUGCUCUCUAAAACUUCUCUUUUUCCAGUUUUCCCAGGGAGACUGGAGGAAGGGGUGUGUGCGUCCCGAGGGUGGGGGCAGCCCCGGCACUGGGAGCACUCCUAGGUGCGUGAAUUCCAGGAGGAGCCGCAGGCUCAUCCUUUAUCUCUUCCCUGCAGCGGCCUGGAUGAGUCUGUGAGUAAAACUUUAAACCAGGAGCGGAGAGGGAGGGAGGGAGGGGGGAGAGGGAGGAGGGCACAGGCUCGCUGAGAUGUGAUGAUGUCAGUACUUGCCUGGCUCUGGGUAUGUGUUUGUGGGAGAGAGAGAGAGCAGAGCUGUGCUCUAGCACACUGAGAGAGAGAGAGAGAGAGUACCAGGAGCAGAGCAUGCACAACACAAGGGAGAAAGGGACUCCAUUUUGGGAAGGAGAUUCCGGAGCCCUCCGUAAACGCAUCCCGCUCCCCCAUCGGAAGAAGCGCGUGUAGGAGGGGGCCGUGAAUGGGGAACAGCCUGUCCCGCGCGCAGGGCGAUCGGUGCGCCUGCAGCCCACCCAGACGCCCCAGGCCCUCGCUGUGAGCCCAUCACAGGAUUCCAGGUCAGCACUCCUCUUUUCACCUGUCGAUGAUGAUCUAGAAACUGAUGAGCACUGAUACUGUAUGUCAAAAGUAAGCUGCAGGGACUGGUGUCGGGCAUGUGGUCGCUGUCUGGUGACUCGAGCCCUGUGUCGUCAUGCAGUGGCCUGUCGGUCACUGGUGGAGAAGGAUGCAGGACAGGUCAGCAGUGGCUGGAGACUGAUUGAUUAAAGGCGGGGGAAAAUAAGGGAUUUAUACCUUAAAGAGUGGCCUUGUUUCACUAAGGGCUUUCCCUCAGGUGCUCAGAUGGGUCAGUCUGUGUUACCCUGCCUCGAUUUAGGUCCAGCGGUCUAUUUUCCUGCAGUACAAAUUGAUUUGUGUUAAUGCUGCCAAAUGCAGUUCAGGUCAAAUUGGG
rnacentral:lncRNA from 1 species